UCAAUAUCAGCACUAACUUUGACGUCUUACAUCUGGUUUUUAUUUACAUUACUUGACAAAUUAAUCAAGAGAAAACAAAAUGCCUGCGCCAUGUUGCGAACCCUGCAAAGACACCUGCAAGAAUGCCGCUGACUGCAAGGACAAGUGUUCUGCUGAAGCGGAUUGCUCCGACUGUUCUAGUAAACCAGGUGGAUGCUGCUAGGCGUAUCCCUCAGUCGAAUACGAUGGAGGAGGAUGAAGAAUACUGAUCUGCCUGCGUAAAAUGGUUAAAUUGUGUAGUUUCAUUUAUCAGAUCAUGC